UACGUAGGGGGCAAGCGUUGUCCGGAUUUAUUGGGCGUAAAGCGUGUGUAGGCGGAUUGCUAAGUACCUUGUGAAAUCCCACGGCUUAACCGUGGAACUGCUUGGUAUACUGGCUGUCUUGAGCCACUUAGGGGCGACCGGAACAAACGGUGGAGCGGUGAAAUGCGUAGAUAUCGUUUGGAACGCCAAAGGUGAAAACAGGUCGCUGGGAGUGUGCUGACGCUGAGACACGAAAGCCAGGGGAGCAAACGGG
rnacentral:rRNA from 1 species